rnacentral:lncRNA from 1 species
CUGAUUUUAAUAGUUUGACCUUAUCAUGCUCAUGUUGUACUGUUAUACCACUGUCCUGGGUUAGAGGGAGGGUUGGGAUCUCGCUUACAUGUGUAACCCUGCCACAUUCUGUAUGAAUGUGCCUGUCCCAAGUCAGGAGACUGUAAUUCAGUUGUUGUUGAUUAUAUUUGUGUUUUAUAUUUGUUUUUCCGUUCAUUUUUUGUACAUAAAUAAGGCCGUUAGUUUUUCUCGUUUGAAUUGUUUUACUUUGUUAUUUUUCCUUUUAUAGCUGACUAUGUGGUAUAAUAGCUCAAUGUUGAAGGUCGUGCAGUACCCUAUAGUUGUUAAUUUCUGUGUCAUUUUAAUCUAUUGUGGAGAGUUGUCUGAUUGGCAGUCAUACCAAAUCUUUUUGUAAGCCAACUGCAG